rnacentral:rRNA from 1 species
UACGGAGGGUGCAAGCGUUAUCCGGAUUCACUGGGUUUAAAGGGUGCGUAGGUGGGAAUGUAAGUCAGUGGUGAAAUCUCCGAGCUUAACUCGGAAACUGCCGUUGAUACUAUUGUCUUGAAUAUUGUGGAGGUAAGCGGAAUAUGUCAUGUAGCGGUGAAAUGCUUAGAUAUGACAUAGAACACCAAUUGCGAAGGCAGCUUACUACACAACGAUUGACGCUGAGGCACGAAAGCGUGGGGAUCAAACAGG